GCCGUCGUAGCACAAUGGUAGUGCGUUGCUUUCCUAUCAGCGUGUGAUGCGAAAAUAUUGUAGAGGCAGAGGUUGAGGGUUCGAUCCCCUUCGUCGGUU